UGUCCAAAACCUUUGUAGGAACUGUUUUCCAACCUUUUGGAGUUAGUUAGACCAAAUAAAAAUGAAAAAUGAAAAAAAAAUAUUUGGGGUGUUUUGGCUUCCUGAAGGUAAUACCCGGGUAUUAAGAUUUGGGGCUAGGGUUAGGUUUAAGGUUUUGGCGUUAGGGUUUAAAUCACUGUCCAAAACGUUUGUAGGAACUCUUUUCCAACCUUUUGGAGUUAGUUAGACCAAAAAGAAAUGAAAAAUGAAAAAAAAAUAUUUGUGGUGUUCGGGCUUCCUGAAGAUAAUACAUGGGUAUUAGGUUUUGGGGCUAGGGAAAGGUUUAAGGUUUUUGGCGUUAGGGUUAAAAUCACUGUCCAAAACCUUUGUAGGAACUCUUUUCCAACCAUUUGGAGUUAGUUAGACCAAAUAAAAAUGAAAAAUGAAAAAAAAAUAUUUGGCUUGUUUUGGCUUCCUGAAGAUAAUGCACGGGUAUUAGGUUUUGGGGCUAGGGUAAGGUUUAAGGUUUUUGGCGUUAGGGUUAAAAUCACUGUCCAAAACCUUUGUAGGAACUAUUUUCCAAGCUUUGGGAGUUAGUUAGACCAAAAAGAAAUGAAAAAUGAAAAAAAAAUAUUUGGGGUGUUCGGGCUUCCUGAAGGUAAUACCCGGGUAUAAGUUUUGGGGCUAUGGUAAGGUUUAAGGUUUUUGGCGUUAGGGUUAAAAUCACUGUCCAAAACCUUUGUAGGAACUCUUUUCCAACCUUUUGGAGUUAGUUACACCAAAUAAAAAUGAAAAAUGAAAAAAAAUAUAUUUGGGGUGUUUGGGCUUCCUGAAGGUAAUACCCGGGUAUUAGGUUAUGGGGCUGGGGUAAGGUUUAAGGUUUUUGGCGUUAGGGUUAAAAUCACUGUCCAAAACCUUUGUAGUAACUCUUUUCCAACCUUUUGGAGUUAGUUACACCAAAUAAAAAUGAAAAAUGAAAAAAAAUAUAUUUGGGGUGUUUGGGCUUCCUGAAGGUAAUACCCGGGUAUUAAGAGUUGGGGCUAGGGUAAGGUUUAAGGUUUUGGCGUUAGGGUUAAAAUCACUGUCCAAAACCUUUGUAGGAUCUCUUUUCCAACCUUUGGGAGUUAGUUAGACCAAAUAAAAAUGAAAAAUGAAAAAAAAAUAUUUGGGGUGUUUGGGCUUCCUGAAGGUAAUACCCGGGUAUUAAGAUUUGGGGCUAGGGUAAGGUUUAAGGUUUUGGCGUUAGGGUUUAAAUCACUGUCCAAAACCUUUGUAGGAACUGUUUUCCAACCUUUUGGAGUUAGUUAGACCAAAUAAAAAUGAAAAAUGAAAAAAAAUAUAUUUGGGGUGUUUGGGCUUCCUGAAGGUAAUACCCGGGUAUUAAGAGUUGGGGCUAGGGUAAGGUUUAAGGUUUUGGCGUUAGGGUUUAAAUCACUGUCCAAAACCUUUGUAGGAACUGUUUUCCAACCUUUUGGAGUUAGUUAGACCAAAUAAAAAUGAAAAAAACAAUAUUUGGCUUGUUUUGGCUUCCUGAAGAUAAUGCACGGGUAUUAGGUUAUGGGGCUAUGGUAAGGUUUAAGGUUUUUGGCGUUAGGGUUAAAAUCACUGUCCAAAACCUUUGUAGGAUCUCUUUUCCAAGCUUUUGGAGUUAGUUAGACCAAAAAAAAAGAAAAAUGAAAAAAAAAUAUUUGGGGUGUUCGGGCUUCCUGAAGGUAAUACCCGGGUAUUAGGUUUUGGGGCUUGGGUAAGGUUUAAGGUUUUUGGCGUUAGGGUUAAAAUGACUGUCCAAAACCUUUGUAGGAUCUCUUUUCCAAGCUUUUGGAGUUAGUUAGACCAAAAAAAAAGAAAAAUGAAAAAAAAAUAUUUGGGGUGUUCGGGCUUCCUGAAGGUAAUACCCGGGUAUAAGUUUUGGGGCUAUGGUAAGGUUUAACGUUUUUGGCGUUAGGGUUUAAAUCACUGUCCAAAACCUUUGUAGGAACUCUUUUCCAACCUUUUGGAGUUAGUUAGACCAAAUAAAAAUGAAAAAUGAAAAAAUAUAUAUUUGGGGUGUUUGGGCUUCCUGAAGGUAAUACCCGGGUAUUAAGAGUUGGGGCUAGGGUAAGGUUUAAAGUUUUUGGCGUUAGGGUUAAAAUCACUGUCCUAAACCUUUGUAGGAUCUCUUUUCCAAGCUUUUGGAGUUAGUUGGACCAAAAAAAAAGAAAAAUGAAAAAAAAAUAUUUGGGGUGUUCGGGCUUCCUGAAGGUAAUACCCGGGUAUUAGGUUUUGGGGCUAGGGGAAGGUUUAAGGUUUUUGGCGUUAGGGUUAAAAUGACUGUACAAAACCUUUGUAGGAUCUCUUUUCCAAGCUUUUGGAGUUAGUUAGACCAAAAAAAAAGAAAAAUGAAAAAAGAAUAUUUGGGGUGUUCGGGCUUCCUGAAGGUAAUACCCGGGUAUAAGUUUUGGGGCUAUGGUAAGGUUUAAGGUUUUUGGCGUUAGGGUUAAAAUCACUGUCCAAAACCUUUGUAGGAACUCUUUUCCAACCUUUUGGAGUUAGUUACACCAAAUAAAAAUGAAAAAUGAAAAAAAAUAUAUUUGGGGUGUUUGGGCUUCCUGAAGGUAAUACCCGGGUAUUAAGAUUUGGGGCUAGGGUAAGGUUUAAGGUUUUGGCGUUAGGGUUUAAAUCACUGUCCAAAACUUUGUAGGAACUCUUUUCCAACCUUUUGGAGUUAGUUAGACCAAAAAAAAGAAAAAUGAAAAAAAAAAUAUUUGGGGUGUUUGGGCUUCCUGAAGGUAAUACCCGGGUAUAAGUUUUGGGGCAAUGGUAAGGUUUAACGUUUUUGGCGUUAGGGUUUAAAUCACUGUCCAAAACCUUUGUAGGAACUCUUUUCCAACCUUUUGGAGUUAGUUAGACCAAAUAAAAAUGAAAAAUGAAAAAAAAUAUAUUUGGGGUGUUUGGGCUUCCUGAAGGUAAUACCCGGGUAUUAAGAGUUGGGGCUAGGGUAAGGUUUAAGGUUUUGGCGUUAGGGUUUAAAUCACUGUCCAAAACCUUUGUAGGAACUGUUUUCCAACCUUUUGGAGUUAGUUAGACCAAAUAAAAAUGAAAAAAAAACAAUAUUUGGCUUGUUUUGGCUUCCUGAAGAUAAUGCACGGGUAUUAGGUUUGGGGCUAUGGUAAGGUUUAAGGUUUUUGGCGUUAGGGUUAAAAUCACUGUCCAAAACCUUUUGUAGGAUCUCUUUUCCAAGCUUUUGGAGUUAGUUAGACCAAAAAAAAAGAAAAAUGAAAAAAAAAUAUUUGGGGUGUUCGGGCUUCCUGAAGGUAAUACCCGGGUAUUCGGUUAUGGGGCUAGGGAAAGGUUUAAAGUUUUUGGCGUUAGGGUUAAAAUCACUGUCCAAAACCUUUGUAGGAUCUCUUUUCCAAGCUUUUGGAGUUAGUUAGACCAAAAAAAAAGAAAAAUGAAAAAAAAAUAUUUGGGGUUUUCGGGCUUCCUGAAGGUAAUACUAUUAGGUUUUGGGGCUAGGGUAAGGUUUAAGGUUUUUGGCGUUAGGGUUAAAAUGACUGUCCAAAACCUAUUUAGGAACAUGUUUCAGACCUUUUGGAGUUGGUUACACCAAAUAAAAAUAAAAAAUAAAAAAAAUAUAUUUGGGGUGUUUGGGCUUCCUGAAGGUAAUACCCGGGUAUUAAGAGUUGGGGCUAGGGUAAGGUUUAAGGUUUUUGGCGUUAGGGUUAAAAUCACUGUCCAAAACCUUUGUAGGAACUGUUUUCCAACCUUUUGGAGUUAGUUAGACCAAAUAAAAAUGAAAAAUGAAAAAAUAUAUAUUUGGGGUGUUUGGGCUUCCUGAAGGUAAUACCCGGGUAUUAAGAGUUGGGGCUAGGGUAAGGUUUAAGGUUUUGGCGUUAGGGUUUAAAUCACUGUCCAAAACCUUUGUAGGAACUGUUUUCCAACCUUUUGGAGUUAGUUAGACCAAAUAAAAAUGAAAAAAAAACAAUAUUUGGCUUGUUUUGGCUUCCUGAAGAUAAUGCACGGGUAUUAGGUUUUGGGGCUAUGGUAAGGUUUAAGGUUUUUGGCGUUAGGGUUAAAAUCACUGUCCAAAACCUUUGUAGGAUCUCUUUUCCAAGCUUUUGGAGUUAGUUAGACCAAAAAAAAAGAAAAAUGAAAAAAAAAUAUUUGGGGUGUUCGGGCUUCCUGAAGGUAAUACCCGGGUAUUAGGUUAUGGGGCUAGGGAAAGGUUUAAAGUUUUUGGCGUUAGGGUUAAAAUCACUGUCCAAAACCUUUGUAGGAUCUCUUUUCCAAGCUUUUGGAGUUAGUUAGACCAAAAAAAAAGAAAAAUGAAAAAAAAAUAUUUGGGGUUUUCGGGCUUCCUGAAGGUAAUACUAUUAGGUUUUGGGGCUAGGGUAAGGUUUAAGAUUUUUUGGCGUUAGGGUUAAAAUGACUGUCCAAAACCUAUUUAGGAACAUGUUUCAGACCUUUUGGAGUUGGUUACACCAAAUAAAAAUAAAAAAUAAAAAAAAUAUAUUUGGGGUGUUCGGGCUUCCUGAAGGUAAUACCCGGGUAUAAGUUUUGGGGCUAUGGUAAGGUUUAAGGUUUUUGGCGUUAGGGUUAAAAUCACUGUCCAAAACCUUUGUAGGAACUCUUUUCCAACCUUUUGGAGUUAGUUAGACCAAAUAAAAAUGAAAAAUGAAAAAAAAUAUAUUUGGGGUGUUUGGGCUUCCUGAAGGUAAUACCCGGGUAUUAAGAGUUGGGGCUAGGGUAAGGUUUAAGGUUUUGGCGUUAGGGUUUAAAUCACUGUCCAAAACCUUUGUAGUAACUCUUUUCCAACCUUUUGGAGUUAGUUAGACUAAAAAAAAAGAAAGAUGAAAAAAAAAAAUAUUUGGGGUUUUCGGGCUUCCUGAAGGUAAUACUUUAAUAAUAUUAGGUUUUGGGGCUAGGGUAAGGUUUAAGGUUUUGGGCGUUAGGGUUAAAAUGACUGUCCAAAACCUAUUUAGGAACAUGUUUCAGACCUUUUGGAGUUGGUUACACCAAAUAAAAAUAAAAAAAAAUAAAAAAAUAUUUGGGGUGUUUGGGCUUCCUGAAGGUAAUACCCGGGUAUUAAGAGUUGGGGCUAGGGUAAGGUUUAAGGUUUUGGCGUUAGGGUUUAAAUCACUGUCCAAAACCUUUGUAGGAACUGUUUUCCAAGCUUUUGGAGUUAGUUAGACCAAAUAAAAAUGAAAAAUGAAAAAAAAUAUAUUUGGGGUGUUUGGGCUUCCUGAAGGUAAUACCCGGGUAUUAAGAGUUGGGGCUAGGGUAAGGUUUAAGGUUUUGGCGUUAGGGUUUAAAUCACUGUCCAAAACCUUUGUAGGAACUGUUUUCCAACCUUUUGGAGUUAGUUAGACCAAAUAAAAAUGAAAAAUGAAAAAAAAAUAUUUGGGGUGUUUGGGCUUCCUGAAGGUAAUACCCGGGUAUUAAGAGUUGGGGCUAGGGUAAGGUUUAAGGUUUUGGCGUUAGGGUUUAAAUCACUGUCCAAAACGUUUGUAGGAACUGUUUUCCAACCUGUUGGAGUUAGUUAGACCAAAAAGAAAUGAAAAAUGAAAAAAAAAUAUUUGUGGUGUUCGGGCUUCCUGAAGGAUAAUACACGGGUAUUAGGUUUUGGGGCUAAGGUUUAAGGUUUUUGGCGUUAGGGUUAAAAUCACUGUCCAAAACCUUUGUAGGAACUCUUUUCCAACCAUUUGGAGUUAGUUAGACCAAAUAAAAAUGAAAAAUGAAAAAAAAAUAUUUGGCUUGUUUUGGCUUCCUGAAGAUAAUGCACGGGUAUUAGGUUUUGGGGCUAGGGUAAGGUUUAAGGUUUUUGGCGUUAGGGUUAAAAUCACUGUCCAAAACCUUUGUAGGAACUAUUUUCCAAGCUUUGGGAGUUAGUUAGACCAAAAAGAAAUGAAAAAUGAAAAAAAAAUAUUUGGGGUUUUUAGGGAUUCCUGAAGGUAAUACCCGGGUAUUAGGUUUUGGGGCUAGGGGAAGGUUUAAGGUUUUUGGCGUUAGGGUUAAAAUGACUGUCCAAAACCUAUUUAGGAACAUGUUUCAGACCUUUUGGAGUUGGUUACACCAAAUAAAAAUAAAAAAUAAAAAAAAUAUAUUUGGGGUGUUCGGGCUUCCUGAAGGUAAUACCCGGGUAUAAGUUUUGGGGCUAUGGUAAGGUUUAAGGUUUUUGGCGUUAGGGUUAAAAUCACUGUCCAAAACCUUUGUAGGAACUCUUUUCCAAGCUUUUGGAGUUAGUUUGACCAAAAAGAAAUGAAAAAUGAAAAAAAAAUAUUUGUGGUGUUCGGGCUUCCUGAAGAUAAUACAUGGGUAUUAGGUUUUGUGGCUAGGGAAAGGUUUAAGGUUUUUGGCGUUAGGGUUAAAAUCACUGUCCAAAACCUUUGUAGGAACUCUUUUCCAACCUUUUGGAGUUAGUUAGACCAAAAAAAAUGAAAAAUGAAAAAGAAAUAUUUGGGGUUUUCGGGCUUCCUGAAGGUAAUACUAUUAGGUUUUGGGGCUAGGGUAAGGUUUAAGGUUUUUGGCGUUAGGGUUAAAAUCACUGUCCAAAACCUAUUUAGGAACAUGUUUCAGACCUUUUGGAGUUGGUUACACCAAAUAAAAAUAAAAAAUAAAAAAAAAAUAUUUGGGGUGUUUUGGCUUCCUGAAGAUAAUACCCGGGUAUUAAGAGUUGGGGCUAGGGUAAGGUUUAAGGUUUUGGCGUUAGGGUUUAAAUCACUGUCCAAAACCUUUGUAGGAACUGUUUUUCAACCUUUUGGAGUUAGUUAGACCAAAUAAAAAUGAAAAAUGAAAAAAAAUAUAUUUGGGGUGUUUGGGCUUCCUGAAGGUAAUACCCGGGUAUUAAGAGUUGGGGCUAGGGUAAGGUUUAAGGUUUUGGCGUUAGGGUUUAAAUCACUGUCCAAAACCUUUGUAGGAACUGUUUUCCAACCUUUUAGAGUUAGUUAGACCAAAUAAAAAUGAAAAAUGAAAAAAAAAUAUUUGGGGUGUUUGGGCUUCCUGAAGGUAAUACCCGGGUAUUAAGAUUUGGGGCUAGGGUAAGGUUUAAGGUUUUGGCGUUAGGGUUUAAAUCACUGUCCAAAACGUUUGUAGGAACUCGUUUCCAACCUUUUGGAGUUAGUUAGACCAAAAAGAAAUGAAAAAUGAAAAAAAAAUAUUUGUGGUGUUCGGGCUUCCUGAAGAUAAUACACGGGUAUUAAGUUUUGGGGCUAGGAAAAGGUUUAAGGUUUUUGGCGUUAGGGUUAAAAUCACUGUCCAAAACCUUUGUAGGAACUGUUUUCCAACCUUUGGGAGUUAGUUAGACCAAAUAAAAAUGAAAAAUGAAAAAAAAAAUAUUUGGGGUGUUUGGGCUUCCUGAAGGUAAUACCGGGGUAUUAAGAUUUGGGGCUAGGGUAAGGUUAAAGGUUUUGGCGUUAGGGUUUAAAUCACUGUCCAAAACGUUUGUAGGAACUCUUUUCCAACCUUUUGGAGUUAGUUAGACCAAAUAAAAAUGAAAAAAACAAUAUUUGGCUUGUUUUGGCUUCCUGAAGAUAAUGCACGGGUAUUAGGUUAUGGGGCUAUGGUAAGGUUUAAGGUUUUUGGCGUUAGGGUUAAAAUCACUGUCCAAAACCUUUGUAGGAUCUCUUUUCCAAGCUUUUGGAGUUAGUUAGACCAAAAAAAAAGAAAAAUGAAAAAAAAAUAUUUGGGGUGUUUGGGCUUCCUGGAGGUAAUACCCGGGUAUUAAGAGUUGGGGCUAGGGUAAGGUUUAAGGUUUUUGGCGUUAGGGUUAAAAUGACUGUCCAAAACCUUUGUAGGAUCUCUUUUCCAAGCUUUUGGAGUUAUUUAGACCAAAAAAAAAGAAAAAUGAAAAAAAAAUAUUUGGGGUGUUCGGGCUUCCUGAAGGUAAUACCCGGGUAUAAGUUUUGGGGCUAUGGUAAGGUUUAAGGUUUUUGGCGUUAGGGUUAAAAUCACUGUCCAAAACCUUUGUAGGAACUCUUUUCCAACCUUUUGGAGUUAGUUACACCAAAUAAAAAUGAAAAAUGAAAAAAAAUAUAUUUGGGGUGUUUGGGCUUCCUGAAGGUAAUACCCGGGUAUUAAGAGUUGGGGCUAGGGUAAGGUUAAAGGUUUUGGCGUUAGGGUUUAAAUCACUGUCCAAAACCUUUGUAGUAACUCUUUUCCAACCUUUUGGAGUUAGUUAGACCAAAAAAAAAGAAAAAUGAAAAAAAAAAUAUUUGGGGUGUUUGGGCUUCCUGAAGGUAAUACCCGGGUAUAAGUUUUGGGGCAAUGGUAAGGUUUAACGUUUUUGGCGUUAGGGUUUAAAUCACUGUCCAAAACCUUUGUAGGAACUCUUUUCCAACCUUUUGGAGUUAGUUAGACCAAAUAAAAAUGAAAAAUGAAAAAAAAUAUAUUUGGGGUGUUUGGGCUUCCUGAAGGUAAUACCCGGGUAUUAAGAGUUGGGGCUAGGGUAAGGUUUAAGGUUUUGGCGUUAGGGUUUAAAUCCCUGUCCAAAACCUUUGUAGGAUCUCUUUUCCAAGCUUUUGGAGUUAGUUGGACCAAAAAAAAAGAAAAAUGAAAAAAAAAUAUUUGGGGUGUUCGGGCUUCCUGAAGGUAAUACCCGGGUAUUAGGUUUUGGGGCUAGGGGAAGGUUUAAGGUUUUUGGCGUUAGGGUUAAAAUGACUGUCCAAAACCUUUGUAGGAUCUCUUUUCCAAGCUUUUGGAGUUAGUUAGACCAAAAAAAAAGAAAAAAAGGAAAAAAGAAUAUUUGGGGUGUUCGGGCUUCCUGAAGGUAAUACCCGGGUAUAAGUUUUGGGGCUAUGGUAAGGUUUAAGGUUUUUGGCGUUAGGGUUAAAAUCACUGUCCAAAACCUUUGUAGGAACUCUUUUCCAACCUUUUGGAGUUAGUUACACCAAAUAAAAAUGAAAAAUGAAAAAAAAUAUAUUUGGGGUGUUUGGGCUUCCUGAAGGUAAUACCCGGGUAUUAAGAUUUGGGGCUAGGGUAAGGUUAAAGGUUUUGGCGUUAGGGUUUAAAUCACUGUCCAAAACAUUUGUAGGAACUCUUUUCCAACCUUUUGGAGUUAGUUAGACCAAAAAAAAAGAAAAAUGAAAAAAAAAAAUAUUUGGGGUGUUUGGGCUUCCUGAAGGUAAUACCCGGGUAUAAGUUUUGGGGCUAUGGUAAGGUUUAACGUUUUUGGCGUUAGGGUUUAAAUCACUGUCCAAAACCUUUGUAGGAACUCUUUUCCAACCUUUUGGAGUUAGUUAGACCAAAUAAAAAUGAAAAAUGAAAAAAAAUAUAUUUGGGGUGUUUGGGCUUCCUGAAGGUAAUACCCGGGUAUUAAGAGUUGGGGCUAGGGUAAGGUUUAAGGUUUUGGCGUUAGGGUUUAAAUCACUGUCCAAAACCUUUGUAGGAACUGUUUUCCAACCUUUUGGAGUUAGUUAGACCAAAUAAAAAUGAAAAAUGAAAAAAUAUAUAUUUGGGGUGUUUGGGCUUCCUGAAGGUAAUACCCGGGUAUUAAGAGUUGGGGCUAGGGUAAGGUUUAAGGUUUUGGCGUUAGGGUUUAAAUCACUGUCCAAAACCUUUGUAGGAACUGUUUUCCAACCUUUUGGAGUUAGUUAGACCAAAUAAAAAUGAAAAAAAACAAUAUUUGGCUUGUUUUGGCUUCCUGAAGAUAAUGCACGGGUAUUAGGUUAUGGGGCUAUGGUAAGGUUUAAGGUUUUUGGCGUUAGGGUUAAAAUCACUGUCCAAAACCUUUGUAGGAUCUCUUUUCCAAGCUUUUGGAGUUAGUUAGACCAAAAAAAAAGAAAAAUGAAAAAAAAAUAUUUGGGGUGUUCAGGCUUCCUGAAGGUAAUACCCGGGUAUUCGGUUAUGGGGCUAGGGAAAGGUUUAAAGUUUUUGGCGUUAGGGUUAAAAUCACUGUCCAAAACCUUUGUAGGAUCUCUUUUCCAAGCUUUUGGAGUUAGUUAGACCAAAAAAAAAGAAAAAUGAAAAAAAAAUAUUUGGGGUUUUCGGGCUUCCUGAAGGUAAUACUAUUAGGUUUUGGGGCUAGGGUAAGGUUUAAGGUUUUUGGCGUUAGGGUUAAAAUGACUGUCCAAAACCUAUUUAGGAACAUGUUUCAGACCUUUUGGAGUUGGUUACACCAAAUAAAAAUAAAAAAUAAAAAAAAUAUAUUUGGGGUGUUUGGGCUUCCUGAAGGUAAUACCCGGGUAUUAAGAGUUGGGGCUAGGGUAAGGUUUAAGGUUUUGGCGUUAGGGUUUAAAUCACUGUCCAAAACCUUUGUAGGAACUCUUUUCCAACCUUUUGGAGUUAGUUAGACCAAAUAAAAAUGAAAAAUGAAAAAAUAUAUAUUUGGGGUGUUUGGGCUUCCUGAAGGUAAUACCCGGGUAUUAAGAGUUGGGGCUAGGGUAAGGUUUAAGGUUUUGGCGUUAGGGUUUAAAUCACUGUCCAAAACCUUUGUAGGAACUGUUUUCCAACCUUUUGGAGUUAGUUAGACCAAAUAAAAAUGAAAAAAAAACAAUAUUUGGCUUGUUUUGGCUUCCUGAAGAUAAUGCACGGGUAUUAGGUUUUGGGGCUAUGGUAAGGUUUAAGGUUUUUGGCGUUAGGGUUAAAAUCACUGUCCAAAACCUUUGUAGGAUCUCUUUUCCAAGCUUUUGGAGUUAGUUAGACCAAAAAAAAAAGAAAAAUGAAAAAAAAAUAUUUGGGGUGUUCGGGCUUCCUGAAGGUAAUACCCGGGUAUUAGGUUAUGGGGCUAGGGAAAGGUUGAAAGUUUUUGGCGUUAGGGUUAAAAUCACUGUCCAAAACCUUUGUAGGAUCUCUUUUCCAAGCUUUUGGAGUUAGUUAGACCAAAAAAAAAGAAAAAUGAAAAAAAAAUAUUUGGGGUUUUCGGGCUUCCUGAAGGUAAUACUAUUAGGUUUUGGGGCUAGGGUAAGGUUUAAGAUUUUUUGGCGUUAGGGUUAAAAUGACUGUCCAAAACCUAUUUAGGAACAUGUUUCAGACCUUUUGGAGUUGGUUACACCAAAUAAAAAUAAAAAAAAAAUAUAUAUAUUUGGGGUGUUCGGGCUUCCUGAAGGUAAUACCCGGGUAUACGUUUUGGGGCUAUGGUAAGGUUUAAGGUUUUUGGCGUUAGGGUUAAAAUCACUGUCCAAAACCUUUGUAGGAACUCUUUUCCAACCUUUUGGAGUUAGUUAGACCAAAUAAAAAUGAAAAAUGAAAAAAUAUAUAUUUGGGGUGUUUGGGCUUCCUGAAGGUAAUACCCGGGUAUUAAGAGUUGGGGCUAGGGUAAGGUUUAAGGUUUUGGCGUUAGGGUUUAAAUCACUGUCCAAAACCUUUGUAGUACCUCUUUUCCAACCUUUUGGAGUUAGUUAGACAAAAAAAAAAGAAAGAUGAAAAAAAAAAUAUUUGGGGUUUUCGGGCUUCCUGAAGGUAAUACUUUAAUAAUAUUAGGUUUUGGGGCUAGGGUAAGGUUUAAGGUUUUGGGCGUUAGGGUUAAAAUGACUGUCCAAAACCUAUUUAGGAACAUGUUUCAGACCUUUUGGAGUUGGUUACACCAAAUAAAAAUAAAAAAAAAUAAAAAAAUAUUUGGGGUGUUUGGGCUUCCUGAAGGUAAUACCCGGGUAUUAAGAGUUGGGGCUAGGGCAAGGUUUAAGGUUUUGGCGUUAGGGUUAAAAUCACUGUCCAAAACCUUUGUAGGAACUGUUUUCCAAGCUUUUGGAGUUAGUUAGACCAAAUAAAAAUGAAAAAUGAAAAAAAAUAUAUUUGGGGUGUUUGGGCUUCCUGAAGGUAAUACCCGGGUAUUAAGAGUUGGGGCUAGGGUAAGGUUUAAGGUUUUGGCGUUAGGGUUUAAAUCACUGUCCAAAACCUUUGUAGGAACUGUUUUCCAACCUUUUGGAGUUAGUUAGACCAAAUAAAAAUGAAAAAUGAAAAAAAAAUAUUUGGGGUGUUUGGGCUUCCUGAAGGUAAUACCCGGGUAUUAAGAGUUGGGGCUAGGGUAAGGUUUAAGGUUUUGGCGUUAGGGUUUAAAUCACUGUCCAAAACGUUUGUAGGAACUGUUUUCCAACCUGUUGGAGUUAGUUAGACCAAAAAGAAAUGAAAAAUGAAAAAAAAAUAUUUGUGGUGUUCGGGCUUCCUGAAGAUAAUACACGGGUAUUAGGUUUUGGGGCUAGGGAAAGGUUUAAGGUUUUUGGCGUUAGGGUUAAAAUCACUGUCCAAAACCUUUGUAGGAACUCUUUUCCAACCAUUUGGAGUUAGUUAGACCAAAUAAAAAUGAAAAAUGAAAAAAAAAUAUUUGGCUUGUUUUGGCUUCCUGAAGAUAAUGCACGGGUAUUAGGUUUUGGGGCUAGGGUAAGGUUUAAGGUUUUUGGCGUUAGGGUUAAAAUCACUGUCCAAAACCUUUGUAGGAACUAUUUUCCAAGCUUUGGGAGUUAGUUAGACCAAAAAGAAAUGAAAAAUGAAAAAAAAAUAUUUGGGGUUUUUAGGGAUUCCUGAAGGUAAUACCCGGGUAUUAGGUUUUGGGGCUAGGGGAAGGUUUAAGGUUUUUGGCGUUAGGGUUAAAAUGACUGUCCAAAACCUAUUUAGGAACAUGUUUCAGACCUUUUGGAGUUGGUUACACCAAAUAAAAAUAAAAAAUAAAAAAAAUAUAUUUGGGGUGUUCGGGCUUCCUGAAGGUAAUACCCGGGUAUAAGUUUUGGGGCUAUGGUAAGGUUUAAGGUUUUUGGCGUUAGGGUUAAAAUCACUGUCCAAAACCUUUGUAGGAACUCUUUUCCAAGCUUUUGGAGUUAGUUUGACCAAAAAGAAAUGAAAAAUGAAAAAAAAAUAUUUGUGGUGUUCGGGCUUCCUGAAGAUAAUACAUGGGUAUUAGGUUUUGUGGCUAGGGAAAGGUUUAAGGUUUUUGGCGUUAGGGUUAAAAUCACUGUCCAAAACCUUUGUAGGAACUCUUUUCCAACCUUUUGGAGUUAGUUAGACCAAAAAAAAUGAAAAAUGAAAAAGAAAUAUUUGGGGUUUUCGGGCUUCCUGAAGGUAAUACUAUUAGGUUUUGGGGCUAGGGUAAGGUUUAAGGUUUUUGGCGUUAGGGUUAAAAUCACUGUCCAAAACCUAUUUAGGAACAUGUUUCAGACCUUUUGGAGUUGGUUACACCAAAUAAAAAUAAAAAAUAAAAAAUAAAUAUUUGGGGUGUUCGGGCUUCCUGAAGGUAAUACCCAGGUAUUAGGUUUAGGGGCUAAGGGAAGGUUUAAGGUUUUUGGCGUUAGGGUUAAAAUCACUGUCCAAAACCUUUGUAGUAACUCUUUUCCAACAUUUUGGAGUUAGUUAGACCGAAAAAAACAAAAAAUGAAAAAAAAAAUAUUUGGGGUUUUCGGGCUUCCUGAAGGUAAUACUUUAAUAAUAUUAGGUUUUGGGGCUAGGGGAAGUUUUAAGGUUUUUUGGCGUUGCGGUUAAAAUGACUGUCCAAAACCUUUGCAGUAACUCUUUUCCAACCUUUUGGAGAUAGUUAGACCAAAAAAAAUUUAAAAAAAUAUAUUUAUAUUUGGGGUGUUAGGGCUUCCUGAAGGUAAUACCCGGGUAUUAAGAAUUGGGGCUAGGGUAAGGUUUAAGGUUUUGGCGUUAGGGUUAAAAUCACUGUCCAAAACCUUUGUAGGAACUCUUUUCCAACCUUUUGGAGUUAGUUAGACCAAAUAAAAAUGAAUAAUGAAAAAAAAAUAUUUGGGGUGUUUGGGCUUCCUGAAGGUAAUACCCAGGUAUUAGGUUUUGGGGCUAGGGUAAGGUUUAAGGUUUUUGGCGUUAGGGUUAAAAUGACUGUCCAAAACCUAUUUAGGAACAUGUUUCAGACCUUUUGGAGUUGGUUACACCAAAUAAAAUAAAAAAAUUAAAAAAAUAUAUUUGGGGUGUUCAGGCUUCCUGAAGGUAAUACCCGGGUAUAAGUUUUGGGGCUAUGGUAAGGUUUAAGGUUUUUGGCGUUAGGGUUAAAAUCACUGUCCAAAACCUUUGUAGGAUCUCUUUUCCAACCUUUUGGAGUUAGUUAGACCAAAUAAAAAUGAAAAAUGAAAAAAUAUAUAUAUUUGGGGUGUUUGGGCUUCCUGAAGGUAAUACCCGGGUAUUAAGAGUUGGGGCUAGGGUAAGGUUUAAGGUUUUUGGCGUUAGGGUUAAAAUCACUGUCCAAAACCUUUGUAGGAUCUCUUUUCCAACCUUUUGGAGUUAGUUAGACCAAAUAAAAAUGAAAAAUGAAAAAAAUAUAUUUGGGGUGUUGGGGCUUCCUGAAGGUAAUACCCGGGUAUUAAGACUUGGGGCUAGGGUAAGGUUUAAGGUUUUGGCGUUAGGGUUUAAAUCACUGUCCAAAACCUUUGUAGUAACUCUUUUCCAACCUUUUGGAGUUAGUUAGACCAAAAAAAAAGAAAAAUGAAAAAAAAAUAUUUGGGGUGUUUGGGCUUCCUGAAGGUAAUACCCAGGUAUUAAGAUUUGGGGCUAGGGUAAGGUUUAAGGUUUUGGCGUCAGGGUUUAAAUCACUGUCCAAAACCUUUGUAGGAACUAUUUUCCAAGCUUUUGGAGUUAGUUAGACCAAAAAGAAAUGAAAAAUGAAAAAAAAUAUAUUUGUGGUGUUCGGGCUUCCUGAAGAUAAUACACGGGUAUUAGGUUUUGGGGCUAGGGAAAGGUUUAAGGUUUUUGGCGUUAGGGUUAAAAUCACUGUCCAAAACCUUUGUAGGAACUCUUUUCCAACCAUUUGGAGUUAGUUAGACCAAAUAAAAAUGAAAAAUGAAAAAAAAAUAUUUGGGGUGUUCGGGCUUCCUGAAGGUAAUACCCGGGUAUUAAGAUUUGGGGCUGGGGUAAGGUCUAAGGUUUUGGUGUUAGGGUUUAAAUCACUGUCCAAAACGUUUGUAGGAACUCUUCUAACCUUUUGGAGUUAGUAAGACCAAAAAAAAUGAAAAAUGAAAAAAAAAUAUUUGUGGUGUUCGGGCUUCCUGAAGAUAAUACACGGGUAUUAGGUUUUGUGGCUAGGGAAAGGUUUAAGGUUUUUGGCGUUAGGGUUAAAAUCACUGUCCAAAACCUUUGUAGGAACUCUUUUCCAACCUUUUGGAGUUAGUUAGACCAAAAAAAAUGAAAAAUGAAAAAGAAGAAUUUGGGGUUUUCGGGCUUCCUGAAGGUAAUACUACUAGGUUUUGGGGCUAGGGUAAGGUUUAAGGUUUUUGGCAUUAGGGUUAAAAACACUGUCCAAAACCUUUGUAGGAACUCUUUUCCAACCUUUUGAAGUUAGUUAGACCAAAAACAAAUGAAAAAUAAAAAAAUAUAUAUUUAGGGGGUUCGGGCUUCCUGAAGGUAAUACCCGGGAAUUAGGUUUUGGGGCUAUGGUAAGGUUUAGGUUUUUUUGGCGUUAGGGUUAAAAUCACUGUCCAAAACCUUUGUAGGAACUCUUUUCCAACCCUUUGGGAGUUAGUUAGACCAAAUGAAAAAUGAAAAAAUAUAUAUAUAUAUUUGGGGUGUUCUGGCUUCCUGAAGGUAAUACCCAGGUAUUAGGUUUAGGGGCUAAGGGAAGGUUUAAGGUUUUUGGCGUUAGGGUUAAAAUCACUGUCCAAAACCUUUGUAGUAACUCUUUUCCAACAUUUUGGAGUUAGUUAGACCGAAAAAAACAAAAAAUGAAAAAAAAAAUAUUUGGGGUUUUCGGGCUUCCUGAAGGUAAUACUUGCAUAAUAUUAGGUUUUGGGGCUAGGGGAAGUUUUAAGGUUUUUUGGCGUUGCGGUUAAAAUGACUGUCCAAAACCUUUGUAGUAACUCUUUUCCAACCUUUUGGAGAUAGUUAGACCAAAAAAAAUUUAAAAAAAUAUAUUUAUAUUUGGGGUGUUAGGGCUUCCUGAAGGUAAUACCCGGGUAUUAAGAAUUGGGGCUAGGGUAAGGUUUAAGGUUUUGGCGUUAGGGUUAAAAUCACUGUCCAAAACCUUUGUAGGAACUGUUUUCCAACCUUUUGGAGUUAGUUAGACCAAAUAAAAAUGAAAAAUGAAAAAAAAAUAUUUGGGGUGUUUGGGCUUCCUGAAGGUAAUACCCGGGUAUUAAGAGUUGGGGCUAGGGUAAGGUUUA